rnacentral:rRNA from 1 species
UCAGGAUGAACGCUAGCUACAGGCUUAACACAUGCAAGUCGAGGGGCAUCAGGAAGAAAGCUUGCUUUCUUUGCUGGCGACCGGCGCACGGGUGAGUAACACGUAUCCAACCUGCCCUUUACUCGGGGAUAGCCUUUCGAAAGAAAGAUUAAUACCCGAUAGCAUAAUGAUUCCGCAUGGUUUCAUUAUUAAAGGAUUCCGGUAAAGGAUGGGGAUGCGUUCCAUUAGGUUGUUGGUGAGGUAACGGCCCACCAAGCCUUCGAUGGAUAGGGGUUCUGAGAGGAAGGUCCCCCACAUUGGAACUGAGACACGGUCCAAACUCCUACGGGAGGCAGCAGUGAGGAAUAUUGGUCAAUGGGCGCUAGCCUGAACCAGCCAAGUAGCGUGAAGGAUGAAGGCUCUAUGGGUCGUAAACUUCUUUUAUAUAAGAAUAAAGUGCAGUAUGUAUACUGUUUUGUAUGUAUUAUAUGAAUAAGGAUCGGCUAACUCCGUGCCAGCAGCCGCGGUAAUACGGAGGAUCCGAGCGUUAUCCGGAUUUAUUGGGUUUAAAGGGAGCGUAGGUGGACUGGUAAGUCAGUUGUGAAAGUUUGCGGCUCAACCGUAAAAUUGCAGUUGAUACUGUCAGUCUUGAGUACAGUAGAGGUGGGCGGAAUUCGUGGUGUAGCGGUGAAAUGCUUAGAUAUCACGAAGAACUCCGAUUGCGAAGGCAGCUCACUGGACUGCAACUGACACUGAUGCUCGAAAGUGUGGGUAUCAAACAGGAUUAGAUACCCUGGUAGUCCACACAGUAAACGAUGAAUACUCGCUGUUUGCGAUAUACAGUAAGCGGCCAAGCGAAAGCAUUAAGUAUUCCACGUGGGGAGUACGCCGGCAGCGGUGAAACUCAAAGGAAUUGACGGGGGCCCGCACAAGCGGAGGAACAUGUGGUUUAAUUCGAUGAUACGCGAGGAACCUUAGCCGGGCGUAAAUUGCAGUGGAAUGAUGUGGAAACAUGUCAGUGAGCAAUCACCGCUGUGAAGGUGCUGCAUGGUUGUCGUCAGCUCGUGCCGUGAGGUGUCGGCUUAAGUGCCAUAACGAGCGCAACCCUUAUCUUUAGUUACUAACAGGUUAUGCUGAGGACUCUAGAGAGACUGCCGUCGUAAGAUGUGAGGAAGGUGGGGAUGACGUCAAAUCAGCACGGCCCUUACGUCCGGGGCUACACACGUGUUACAAUGGGGGGUACAGAAGGCAGCUAGCGGGUGACCGUAUGCUAAUCCCAAAAUCCUCUCUCAGUUCGGAUCGAAGUCUGCAACCCGACUUCGUGAAGCUGGAUUCGCUAGUAAUCGCGCAUCAGCCACGGCGCGGUGAAUACGUUCCCGGGCCUUGUACACACCGCCCGUCAAGCCAUGGGAGCCGGGGGUACCUGAAGUACGUAACCGCAAGGAUCGUCCUAGGGUAAAACUG